ensembl:lncRNA
ACACAGGCAGAGGGAGAAGCAGGCUCCAUGCCAGGAGCCCGAUGCGGGACUCAAUCCCGGGUCUCCAGGAUCACGCCCUGGGCCAAAGGCAGGUGCUAAACCACUGAGCCACCCAGGGAUCCCCAAGAAGCAUUCUUUAUAAGCUGUAUAGAUUUAGAAAGCUACUUACAUCUGUCUUUUUGCAUCCUUCGCAGCCUACUACCAAGGUAAAUACUUCAACAUGGAAAGAUUUUUAUCUACAUAAAUUUAAUGAUGAUGAAUUAAAUAUCAACACUAUCCAAAGACCUAUUCUCUCACUGGAAAAUGCCGAUUCCUGUAUUUCUCUGUUUUAACAAAAGCCCGCCUAUGCAUUCCACUCCUACUACACCAGAGCAAACUGUAUAUAAUUAUCAGAAGACUGAGUUCAGACCUGCAGAUGAAGUCCCAAAAAAAGGACGGUACGAGGACAAGAAUGGAAGACAAGGCAAACUGGGGUGUGGUUUCAGAAAUCCUCAAAUAGCAGCUAAGUAUCAACCCAAUUCUGUGGAAAAUAGGAAGACUUUGAAAUUGUUUCAGCCAAGAAACUAUUAUUCUUGAGACCUUUUUUUUUUUUUUUCUUGCAAAACAUUUAGGAUGAAUGGUACAGGAAAUGGACAGGAAACAGACCAAUUGCAAAGUAAUUGUAACAGUCCAGUGGGAAAAUAAUAGAGGUUGAAGCUACCAAUCUUAGUGACAUUUUGGAAUUUUAAUCUCAAGGCCCAGAUCUUUCGGACAAGUGAGUGGAAAAUGUUGAUGAUGACACAUAAAUUUCUAAUCUGGCGGGUGUGAGGAAUAGCAGGGUGAGUGAGCGGCUGGUUUAUGUGGAGCAUGACGUGUUUUAGACAAACUAAAUCUGACAGUCUAUCCAUUAUCCUCUCUAGAUUGCUGACCUAGAAGCCAAACUGAAGUGAAAAGAGGAGUUGAGGAGAAGAGGCAGAGACAUGACGUUCUAGAGAUAAGAUGUAGAGAUCCAUGACAUUCAAACUCUUCCUCUCUAGAUGAGACUAGGCCUGUUCUAACAUAAUUCGAUACAGACCAAUUUCAAAUUGCAGCUGUUUUCUUUCUUUCUGUGAUAUUAUGAUUUCCAGUAAGAAAUAUCUGUAUAUUUGGUCUUUGUGCCUGUUGCUGGCAUAGAGCUCCCAAAACCCACCCUUGGAAUUUAAGAAGUGUUGAGAGUAAUUAAGGUGUCUUCUGUUAUGUUAAGGAGUGGCUUUUGGACCUCAUGGAAGAAUGAGGACUGGCUGCCGGUUGAACCAACCAUGUGAUUAGAAGAUUGGACCUUUCAGUCUUUACCCCCUCAAACCUCCCGGGAGGGGAGAAGAGUUGGAGAUGGAGUUCAAUCACCAAGGCUCACUGACUUAACAAAUCAGGCCUAUGUGACGAAGCCUCCAUAAAAACUAAAAGGACAGGGAUCAGGGAUUGGAAAGCUUCUGGGUUGGUGAACACAUGGAUACUGGAAAGAGUAGCAUACCCAGAGAACAUGGACAUUCCACACCCUCUCCCUGUGCCCUGGGCAUCUCUUCCAUCUCUUCCGUAUGGCUGUUCCUAAGUUUUGGAA